CCAUUUCCCUCCUAUUUUUCCCUUUUUCCCUCCCUCGUUCUCUCUUGCUUCACUCCUAAAAUCUCUACAAACAAAAAUCCCCAAAUCAAAACCCCAAAAACAGAAGCUCUGACUUCGAUAACUUCUCUCUUGCUUCACUCCUAAAAUCUCUUGCUUCACUUCCCAUGGAUUUAGCUCACCAGCAACGACUUCGACGAAACCUUCAUUCACGUGAUCAAUCGAAGCCCUAGCUCAUCUUCACUGGUCAUUGCAUGAGAUCUCACCGUUGCAAGAAAAUACAACCGCACCAGAUGCUUCUAAGCAUAAUUGUCUGAUGUCCGUUGGAAAGAAAUGAAAGGAUUAGAAAGAUGAGCUUAAAAGAACUACUUAUAACUUAUAUGAUAAUGAUGAAGACCGUUUGGCGAAUUGUCCGAAUAGGGUCGAUCCUGAUCAAUGGAGAGUUCUUGUGCAAUUUUGGGGCACUAAAUCAGCCAAGAGACGCAGUAAAACCAACCAUAAAAGUAGACACGAACAGAAAAUGGGACACACGAGUGGGAGGAAGGGCCAUUGUCGUGUAAGGGAUGAGUUGACACAGAUUAAGGAUGGAGUAGUAGUAGAGCUCAAUCGUAUAUAGGUAUUCAUUAAGACUCAUACAAAGAAAGAUGGACAACCAGUUGAUGAAGCAUCAGCUUUGGCCAUACGUCGUCUUAAUGAGGGAGCCUCUCAGAUUACUGAGUCCUCAGAGUCACCUGCUUUACGGGAGGAGUUAUUCACUAGCGUACUAAAACUAGAUAGGAAUGGACGUGUGCGUACCUAUGGCUUGGGUGCUUGUCCAAGUCAAGUGUUUGGGACUAGAUAUACCAGAUCUCAGGAGUAACAUGUCAAGGAUCAGUUACGUACGGAGUUGUGUGCUGAGUUGGGUGCAGAGUUGCAUCCAGAGUUGCGACAAGAGGUGCUAAGAGACGUAAGUGAUGAAAUCACUCAAUUGAAGAACCAAUAUGCAACCGUGGCAGCUUAUAUGAAAAGUGUAGGAUACCCUUGCCUCCAUCACCAAAAUGGAGCUGGAAAUGGAGAUGGAGAUCACACAUCGUCACUAAUGGAGCACAAUGGACAGGUUGAUAGGACAUAGACAAACAUGGAAGACAUGCAAUAGGAAUGACGGAAAAUCUUCUUGAUAAUGAAAACUGUUUUUGUUCUUUUUGUUUUGGAGUUCACAACCAAAAGCAUGUUUUGGUUCUUUGUGUUGCUUUGGUUAGUAUGAUCUUUUGUUUUUGGAAAUACACAAGCAAUUGGAACUUAUAUUUUGACACUUUGGGUUUUAUUUUCACAUUGGCAUUCUAUGCCUCGCAUUGUUAUUUUUUGUUGCUUUGAGAAUUGUCUUUUACGAUGUCCAAUUUGCUUAUAUACGGAAUUUGCAUUUUGGUUUUGGUAGUGGAACUUCAAAAUUGUUUUGGACAGUUACAAUUUUGUAUGCAGGAAAUGUGUUAUCAAAAAUGGUACUAGGUUAGGAUAAUUUGUUAAUGAAAAAAUCAUGUAUUAAAAAUGAAAAUUGCCAAAAAAAAAAAAGAAGAACUUUUAGCAGCGAUUUACAAAUGCCGGUAAAAGCAAUGAAAAGAAAAUACCAAGAUAU